CGGACGGGUGAGUAACACGUGGAUAACCUACCUAUAAGACUGGGAUAACUUCGGGAAACCGGAGCUAAUACCGGAUAAUAUAUUGAACCGCAUGGUUCAAUAUUGAAAGACGGUUUUGCUGUCACUUAUAGAUGGAUCCGCGCCGCAUUAGCUAGUUGGUAAGGUAACGGCUUACCAAGGCAAUGAUGCGUAGCCGACCUGAGAGGGUGAUCGGCCACACUGGAACUGAGACACGGUCCAGACUCCUACGGGAGGCAGCAGGG
rnacentral:rRNA from 1 species